UAAUAGCGUAUAUUAAAGUUGUUGCAGUUAAAAAGCUCGUAGUUGGAUCUCGGGGAAGGACCAGCUGUCCGCUGAGGUGAGAUGGCUGAGCCUGCCCUUUUUUUCCGGGGACCACGUUGCUCUUGGUUGAGGGACGUUGGGACACGGAUCGUUUACUUUGAAAAAAUUAGAGUGUUCAAAGCAGGCCUUCGCUUGAAUACAUUAGCAUGGAAUGAUGGAAUAGGACUUCGGUGCUAUUUCGUUGGUUUCUAGAACCGAAGUAAUGAUUAAUAGGGAUAGUUGGGGGCGUUCAUAUUCCGUUGUCAGAGGUGAAAUUCUUGGAUUUACGGAAGAUGAACUUCUGCGAAAGCAUUCGCCAAGGAUGUUUUCAUUAA
rnacentral:rRNA from 1 species